AUGCCUUUCCGCGGCUGCAGCGUGGCGCUGGGAGAGGCAGCGCCUGACCUUGGCCCCGCACCCGCAGGCGUGGGGAACCCGGGAACUCCCGGCCGGGGGCUACACCGCAUUCCCCGGCCGCCGGGGCCCGCCCGUUCCCCCGGCACCGAGGGAGCGGCCUCACGCCCUUCAGGCCAUGCGGGCAACUCCGCGGCCCAAGAAAACGGGCCCCGAACAAGCAACAAAAGCGCCGCGGGGCCGCAGGGACUGCGGUUCCCCGAGCGCGAUGCGCCCGCCCGGGCCGCCGCCUCCGCCCGCUGCCCAGCGCCGAACAAAGCGCGGCCGCACGGCCCGUGCCCGGCCCCCGCCCGCCGUACCUGGUGCCUCUGGGCGCGGACGGCGCUGAACAUAUUGGGAGCCUCCAGAAUGCGGGGGAAGAAGACUCGCAGGCGCAACCCCGGCUGGCCGGGAAGGAGCAGCGGAGGAACAGAGGGAGCGGAGAGCGGAGGGCGCGGAGCUGCCGAUGGAAGGCGGGAGCGCAGUGGUGGUGUUUGCUCCCGCAGCUGAGUGGAGUGCAUGGAGAGAGCUGUCUGACCUGGAUGACACCACCAAAGUGCAAGGACUGGCAUUGCUGACAGAAAUGAAGUUUUCUAGCUCUUGAAUCUGGAGAGAAUAUGGUGAAAAGAAGAUGAGGGCAGUCUGCAUUGAUCAGAAUUUUUGGGGACUUCUGCAAGUGCAGCAUAUGGUGUGUCUCUGAUGCGUGGGAUGAUCACGAUACCUGGGAGGGAGUAAAGAGAGGGAGCUGCAGCAGCAAGCAGAUAAUGUGAAUGCUAUUUAAGGGCAGGUUACAGAAUUACCUGAUUUUUAGCUGAACUGCUUCAACCCAAGUGCUCCCUCAUGAGAUCUGUGUGGGGGUGGAUCUUCAGUGCCUAGCUCUCCCCCUCAGUGCAGGGAGAUAACUGCCUGUGCCUGCUCCUCUUGGAGCCUAGAAGAGCCUAGGGCUCACCAGAAGGGAUCUGGGGGACAGGGAUUGUAUCAGGAAUGCAAGAGCUUUACUUUACUCCCUAGUGCAGCAGGAUUUGCCUUAAUGGGUGGGUGAAAGGAGAGCCGGGGCAGCUGAGGCCGCUCUGUGUGCAUGCUGCCUUUGAAAACAGAGCACGUCACUGCUCCCAGCUCCUGUUUCAUAUUCUGCUGGGAGCUUCUGGUUGCAAUGCUAAUUUCAGCAAAUCUCUGACAAUUUAAGGGGGAGAGGUUUGUGUAAUAUCUGUAGUAUGACCUGUUUCUACUAAGGAAAUCAUCAUAAUUAAAAUACAAGGACAC
rnacentral:lncRNA from 1 species